rnacentral:tRNA from 1 species
GCUGGUGUAGCUCAGAUGGUAGAGCGACGCACUUGUAAUGCGUAGGUCGGGGGUUCGAUUCCGUCCACCAGCUCCA